rnacentral:rRNA from 1 species
AGCGAACGCUGGCGGCAGGCCUAACACAUGCAAGUCGAACGAACUCUUCGGAGUUAGUGGCGGACGGGUGAGUAACACGUGGGAACGUGCCUUUAGGUUCGGAAUAACUCAGGGAAACUUGUGCUAAUACCGAAUGUGCCCUUCGGGGGAAAGAUUUAUCGCCUUUAGAGCGGCCCGCGUCUGAUUAGCUAGUUGGUGAGGUAAAGGCUCACCAAGGCGACGAUCGGUAGCUGGUCUGAGAGGAUGAUCAGCCACAUUGGGACUGAGACACGGCCCAAACUCCUACGGGAGGCAGCAGUGGGGAAUCUUGCGCAAUGGGCGAAAGCCUGACGCAGCCAUGCCGCGUGAAUGAUGAAGGUCUUGGGAUUGUAAAAUUCUUUCACCGGGGACGAUAAUGACGGUACCCGGAGAAGAAGCCCCGGCUAACUUCGUGCCAGCAGCCGCCGUAA